GGAGGGAUUCCCGAGCGGUCAAAGGGAUCAGACUGUAAAUCUGACGGCUCAGCCUUCGCAGGUUCGAAUCCUGCUCCCUCCA
rnacentral:tRNA from 1 species